rnacentral:tRNA from 1 species
GCCCCCGUAGUUCAAUGGAUAGAACGCCGGACUUCUAAGCCGGCUAUGGGAGUUCGAUUCUCUCCGGGGGCA